GACGAACGCUGGCGGCGUGCCUAAUUCAUGCAAGUCGAGCGGAUGGAAGGAAGCUUGCUUCCUAAAGUCAGCGGCGGACGGGUGAGUAACACGUGAGCAACCUGCCCCUAAGAUCGGGAUAACUUCGGGAAACCGGAGCUAAUACCGGAUAUGAUUAUGUCUCACAUGAGACAUAAUGGAAAGACGGUUUCGGCUGUCACUUAGGGAUGGGCCCGCGGCGGAUUAGCUAGUUGGUGAGGUAACGGCUCACCAAGGCGACGAUGCGUAGCCGACCUGAGAGGGUGAUCGGCCACACUGGGACUGAGACACGGCCCAGACUCCUACGGGAGGCAGCAGUAGGGAAUCUUGCGUAAUGAGCGAAAGCUUGACGCAGCAACGCCGCGUGAGGGAAGAAGGCCUUCGGGUCGUAAACCUCUUUCAGGGAAGAGUAAGGCCCGUGAGUUAACAGCUCAUAAGGGUUGAAAGUAUUCCCAGAAGAAGCACCGGCUAACUACGUGCCAGCCGCCGCAGUAA
rnacentral:rRNA from 1 species